CGUAAGCAAAGUGAACAGCGUUUACAAUGUGUUUGAUUUCAUUUCUUUGACAUGUUGUAUGUGUAGCCUGUUUGUAGCCGAGAUUUAGCUUGUAGUCAGACCGGAUAUUUGUAGCCUACUCAUAGUCAAAUCUGAUUGAUUGUAGUUUUUGUUCAGGCAGCGCAGGAGAUGGUUGCUGUACCAUCAUGUUUGCGGUGUCAAUAAUAUCUACUAAGAUGUCAGUGUCAGUUAAUGACAUGAUAUAUAUGUAGCCACGUUUUAGCUCUGAGUCGGACGGGCUAUGUGUAGUCUGCUUUUAGCCCAACCGGCAAAAUCGAGGCAAUCAGUGUCUACUUUUAACAGCUUGGCUAUAGCCAGACCAGCAAUGAGCAUGGCCGAAAUAGUCUUAAAUUUUUAAUAUUUUAUUUCAUUAUUUUAUAGCAUUAUUAAAUAAUGCAUUAUUAAUUAUGCCAAAAUAAUGCUAAUUUAAAUGUUUCAAAAGUUUAAUUGCAUUUAAUAUAUGAUGUCAUGCAUCCCACACGCAACAAAAAGUGUAACAUUCAUACACAUUAUACAACAUAAUUUGACUUUCUUUCAAUUUAUAAAUAAAUAUGCAAUAACAAUUCCCAACCGCUAGAUGGCAAUUGUCUCCCUACUGAGACAGGACUACUGGCAACGCGAGAUUUGAAAGUUAGUAGAGAUCACUGUUGCAAGAUCCCGCGAUAAUUCAGCCGUUUUGAAUUUUGUUUUUACACGAGAGAACAAGUUUACCUGUGGGAAAUCAACGGGCAAACAACAAACGAUAAAGGACUUUCCUGCUUGGUCUUGGUGUCAAAGUUGUGCAGAAUUGAAUGAAGAAACCUCAAAGACAGUGCCAGAAGGAAGCUGGAAAGAUGCAGUGAUGACCAACUUGUACUUGAGUUGUACUUGAGGAAUGCAGUUGGAAAACAUUUUAUACAAGAAAAAAAAAACAAUUUCCUUUGAGUUCACUGUUGGUUGUUUUAUUUGUUAAAAUAAGUAAACCAACAAAUUGAUUAAUCUUUUUUUAAUCUAUUUUUUUUACGUUGUCAUUUAUCCACAAUGUUUUAAUGUUAAGUGUGAUAACAUGCUCUUGAUUUGUACUAUUUAUUUCUUUUAAAUAUCAUAAGGUAUUUAAUAUUUAAUUUAAUUUUUAUCAUUUUGUAUUUUCUUAAGCUGUUAAUGUUAUUUUUCUUAAUAAAAGCUGUAUAUGUAGUUUGUUUGGAUGGAUGACCAUUUUGUUGUGUUUUAGAUGUAUAUAUGUAGGCAUUCAUUAGCUGUCUAUUUGAUGACUAGUCUAUUAUUGGGCUAUGGUUAGACGUCUAUUAGAUUUUCACUGACAGCCCAAAUUCAGUCUUGUUUUA